rnacentral:rRNA from 1 species
GGUCAAGCUACAAAGGGCUAACGGUGGAUACCUUGGCACACAGAGGCGAAGAAGGACGUGGUUACCGACGAAACGCUUCGGGGAGCUGGAAACAAGCAUUGAUCCGGAGGUGUCCGAAUGGGGCAACCCAAGUGAACUACCCGCUGAAUAAAAUAGGCGGGAGAGAGCGAACCUAGUGAACUGAAACAUCUUAGUAGCUAGAGGAAAAGAAAACAAAAGUGAUUCUCUAAGUAGCGGCGAGCGAACGGGGAACAGCCUAAACCAAUGUCUUCGGAGAUUGGGGUCGUGGGACAGCAACAUGGACUGAAUAGAUUAGACGAAGCAGCUGAAAACUGCACCAGAGGAGGUGAAAGUCCUGUAGUCGAAAAUCGAAGCAGCCUAGCUGAAUCCCGAGUAGGUCGGAGCUCGUGGAAUUCCGAUUGAAUCCGCCAGGACCACCUGGUAAGGCUAAAUACUACUGUGUGACCGAUAGCGUAAAGUACCGCGAGGGAAAGGUGAAAAGAACCCCGUUGAGGGGAGUGAAAUAGAACAUGAAACCGUUAGCCUACAAGCAAUGGGAGCUCGAUUAAACGAGUGACCGUGUGCCUGUUGAAGAAUGAGCCGGCGACUUACAGGUUGUGGCAGGUUAAGGUGUGUUGCACCGAAGCCAAAGUGAAAGCGAGCCUGAAUAGGGCGUUAGUCACAAUUUGUAGACCCGAACCCGGGUGAUCUAACCAUGGCCAGGAUGAAGCUUAGGUAACACUAAGUGGAGGUCCGAACCGACUAAUGUUGAAAAAUUAGCGGAUGAGCUGUGGUUAGGGGUGAAAUGCCAAUCGAACCCGGAGCUAGCUGGUUCUCCCCGAAAUGUGUUUAGGCGCAGCGGUUGUAAAGUCAACUUGGGGGGUAAAGCACUGUUUCGCUGCGGGCGGCGAGAGCUGUACCAAAGUGAGGCAAACUCAGAAUACCCAAGAAGAAACGACCAGUAAGACGGUGGGGGAUAAGCUUCAUCGUCGAAAGGGAAACAGCCCAGACCACCAGCUAAGGUCCCCAAAUCAUCACUAAGUGAGAAAGGAGGUGGGAGUGCAUUGACAACCAGGAGGUUUGCCUAGAAGCAGCAAUCCUUAAAAGAGUGCGUAAUAGCUCACUGGUCAAGCGCUCCUGCGCCGAAAAUGAACGGGGCUAAGUGAUGUACCGAAGCUGUGGACUCAGAUAUGAGUGGUAGGGGAGCGUUCUGUAUAGGGUGAAGCACUAGCGGCAAGCAGGUGUGGACAGUACAGAAGUGAGAAUGUCGGCUUGAGUAGCGAAAAUAUGGGUGAGAAUCCCAUACCCCGAAAUCCUAAGGGUUCCUCCGGAAGGCUCGUCCGCGGAGGGUUAGUCAGGACCUAAGGCGAGGCUGAGAAGCGUAGUCGAUGGACAACCGGUCAAUAUUCCGGUACUGAUUAUGAAUUGUGGCGGGGGACGGAGAAGGCUAGUGCAGCUGGAAGUUGGUUACCAGUCCAAGCAUUCGAGGCGAUGAGAGACGGCGAAAACGUCUUGAGCGGAGGUGUGAUGGGGAGUCUCUACGGAGACGAAGUGCAUGAUGUCAAGCUUCCUAGAAAAGCCCGAACCACGUUAAUUUAUAGUCACCUGUACCCGAAACCGACACAGGUAGGAAGGUAGAGAAUACUAAGGGGCGCGAGGUAACUCUCUCUAAGGAACUCGGCAAAAUUACCCCGUAACUUCGGGAGAAGGGGUGCCUCCAGCAAUGGAGGUCGCAGUGAAUAGGCCCAGGCGACUGUUUACCAAAAACACAGGUCUCCGCAAAGUCGUAAGACGCAGUAUGGGGGCUGACGCCUGCCCAGUGCCGGAAGGUUAAGGAAGUUGGUCAGGGAGCAAUCCUGAAGCUAGCGACUGAAGCCCCGGUGAACGGCGGCCGUAACUAUAACGGUCCUAAGGUAGCGAAAUUCCUUGUCGGGUAAGUUCCGACCCGCACGAAAGGCGUAACGAUCUGGGCACUGUCUCGGAGAGAGGCUCGGCGAAAUAGGAUUGUCUGUGAAGAUACGGACUCCCUGCACCUGGACAGAAAGACCCUAUGAAGCUUUACUGUAGCUUGGAAUUGGGUUCGGGCUUUGCUUGCGCAGGAUAGGUGGGAGACUAUGAAGUUACUCUUGUGGGAGUAAUGGAGUCAACGGUGAGAUACCACUCUGGUGAGGCUAGAAUUCUAACUUGUUCCCGUUAUCCGGGAGAAGGACAAUUUCAGGUGGGCAGUUUGACUGGGGCGGUCGCCUCCUAAAAGGUAACGGAGGCGCGCAAAGGUUUCCUCAGGCUGGUUGGAAAUCAGCCGAAGAGUGUAAAAGCAGAAGGAAGCUUGACUGUGAGACUGACAAGUCAAACAGGGACGAAAGUCGGCUUUAGUGAUCCGACGGCACUGAGUGGAAGGGCCGUCGCUCAACGGAUAAAAGUUACUCUAGGGAUAACAGGCUGAUCUCCGCCAAGAGUUCACAUCGACGCGGAGGUUUGGCACCUCGAUGUCGGCUCAUCGCAACCUGGGGCGGUAGUACGUCCCAAGGGUUGGGCUGUUCGCCCAUUAAAGCGGUACGUGAGCUGGGUUCAGAACGUCGUGAGACAGUUCGGUCCAUAUCCGGUGUAGGCGUAAGAGUAUUGAGAGGAGACUUCCUUAGUACGAGAGGACCGGGAAGUACGCACCUCUGGUGUACCUGUUAUCGUGCCAACGGUAAACGCAGGGUAGCCAAGUGCGGAGUGGAUAACCGCUGAAAGCAUCUAAGUGGGAAGCCCACCUCAAGAUGAGUACUCUCAUGGUGUUAAGCCAGUAAGGUCACGGGAAGACUACCCGUUGAUAGGCUCUAGAUGGAAGUUCAGUAAUGGAUGAAGUCGAGGAGUACUAAUAGACCGAGGGCUUGACCUU